rnacentral:lncRNA from 1 species
CAGGACUCAGUGAAAACGUCUCUUUGCCGAGCAUCUGGACGCUUGGGGCACCGAGACAGUGAGGAGGGGGAUCAGUCACAUUGCGGCAGCAGAACUCCCUUCCUUCCACCCUUUGCCGCGCGCUGGGGCCGAGAUGGGCUGGCGAGUGCAGGCAAAGCCAGCUCGCGGGGAUGGGGGGACGCUCCUGAGAGCGCCGCGGAGCUGCCCGGGGCUCAGGCUGCAAGCGCUGUGGGGGAGGGGGUGGGUUUGGGCCUCCAGAGACUUGGGAAACCCUGCGGUGACCUCGGUGGAGGAGGGCGGAAGGCCUGGCCUCUCGCACCCUCCAGGAUCGGGCCGCUGGGGACACGGGAGGGGGCGUGUGAGCCGACCCCCUGGGCCCCGGUGGCCUCUUCCUUUUCUUCCCCUCUUCUAACCACGGGGCAGAGAGACCCCGAGAGGACGCCAGAGAAAGAAAGGCCGAAAGGGAAAGAAAGGGGCGAGAGGGCGAGCCAGACGGGAGUUCGAAGAACCACUCCAUUCUCUCUGGUGACUUCAGGGAAUUCGCAGCGCUGGCGCCAAGCGCUCUUAGCCAUGUGCGUCAAAAAUGCGAGGCUGGAAAAGCUUGUCGCCUCAAAAGUUCCGCCCCUAUCUCGAGGCGGUUGGCCCACAAAAGAAGUGCAUUUUCACCCUCCACUUGCUCACACUUCGGAGUCUGGAGGCUGGGGGCUUGGAGGUACACAGGGCAGACUCGGGACCGUUCUGGCGUCCCCGGCGCGCACGCACGCACGCAUACACAUCCCAAGCCUUGGGUUUCUUAACCCCCUAGGCCCCGAAACCAGCAUUUUCUCCUUUCCUUUCCACUCGAGGAAGCUCUCAACUCAGGAAGGGCAAAAGAACAUUCUCCCCAAGAUUUUCCCCCCAUCUAAGCAGGGGCAGCCCAACUCACUGCCCUCAGCUCCCCUCCCCCCCAAAAAAAAACCUCCACCCAGAAGCGAGAAAUGUGGGUUUGGUGAAACCUCUGACCCAGACGGGGACCUGCGGUAA